UCCCUGGUGGUCCAGUGGUUAGGACUCUGGGCUCUGAACGCAGGGAGUCACAGGUUCGACCCCUGGUUGGGGAA